CAUGUCAACACAUGGUCACAUAGUCUGUUUGCAAGUAUGGCUAACUAGCGUGCAUCAACAGCCUGAAGUCCUCCUUGCAGACUACAAUGUUACAAUGUUGUUUACCAGGUGCCAUCAUCUAAAGCGAUUCACAUUUGAGAGUAGUAAAGAGCUUGUUUUUCCAAGGAAAGGGCACCAGUGCAGGCAUUUUCUCAUCUUUAAUGUAAGUCAGGGGCACCCCAUUAGGCUGACAUGAGGGCUCCAUGAGGGGGCAAGUGUCAGACAUCAUCAGAUACUGUUUUUUAAUUCAUGGGUUAAAAGAGGGACUUUCCUCAUAAGAAUGGUUGCAAAACAAGGCCCUGUUGUAAUUAAUAUUAUUUUGUCCUGUCAUAGCUCAGACACCUUUUCUUUGUGGCCCUCUGGACUGGCUGGAUAGGUAAGUGAUGACCUGCACCCCCAAAAAGCCCCAAGCCAAAGUGUUUAUGUUAAGCCUGAAUUUUUGUGUCUUUUUAUUGAAAAGACUUCUGAAUAAUUUUGAAGCUCCCUUUACGUCUUCUCUCUGUGUUCUGUUGUGUUUCAUCUUCUAUUCCCACAGUUAAUAUCAAAUAACAGAGAAUGUUGUAUAACUGAAACUCCCUGCCUCCUACCAUCUAGUGCACAGUGUCCCCCAUCAGCAGCACGUGGCUCCAACAAUACCAUUCAGUAAAAACACACGCGUUCAGGCUGCUGACUACAUCUACAACACAUACACGCUAAAACACACGUAUAUAUACACACACACACAGACACACCUCCAGCAACACCUGCCAUCCAGCUCCUGUGUGUGUGUGUGUGUUUGUGUGUAUGUGUGAGUGUGCAGUCAGUGGGAGUGAAUAAUGAGAGCGGUCAGCAGCAACACGUGAACACUUCCCCUGCUGGACAUCACACAUGAAGUAGGGACGGGGGUGGGUGGGACAGGGGAUGCCGUGGUUGCCAUGGUGCCCAUUCCGGUUGCAUUCAACCCCUACGACUUGUACAGAAUCCCACACAAAUAUACGCUCACAUCUCUGGCACAUAGAAAGUGAAGAAGAUCUUUUUCUUUCAUUCAGUUUUCUCCUAAAAAAAUAUAACAAUGAAAAAUCAAACACUAUGUUCCUAUUUCCUUUGUGACAUAGACAUCUUGUUAAAGAAACUGAGAUAAUAUACCUCAAGAGAAGAGGUGUACGGGGCUUUAUCACCCCUCCUGGUGUUUUUCAAAUCUUGGGAAAGCUUCCUCAAAGAUGCAUCUGUAGUAUAUAAAACAUUAUAAAAGUCUCAUUCUGGUCCCUUCUCAGUCAAAAAUGCUACAAAUAGUUUUAGAAGCAGCUCUUCUGAAGUACGAAACAUGAAAAAGUGUUUUCUUGCUGCUCUGCCAGUGUAAAAAAAAUGUAAAAGGUGCUCUCAUAACGCCCUUUAGUAUAAGCCUUAAAAAGUGCCCUUUAGAUGCUCCUUUAGCCCAGGAUUUAGAUUCCCUUCUAGUAAAAAAAAUAAGCCUAAAAAAAAGCCUCAAAGAUGCCCCCUGUCAUAUAAAGACACAAUUUUUAGUUGCCCUUUUGGCAAAAAAGUAGUCACAAGGGCUCUUUAUAUCCCCUCCCAGUAUUCAAAGCCUCAAGAAGUGCCCAAAGAUGCCCCCUUAGUAUGUAAUAAGCAAAAAAAGUGUUCUCCAGAUGCUGCCAGUAGCUAUACAAAGCCUCACAAGUGCCCUUUAGAUACCUUAAACUCAAAAAGUGCUUCACAGAUGCCCUUCCAGUUUAUAAAGCCACCCAAAAGUGCUUUUUAAGAUGCCUUUAGAGAAUAUAAUACUCAAGAAGUGAGUGCAUGUGUGCUGACCAUGCAUGCAGCCCGUUAGAGGUGCUCUUGUUUACUGACUUCCUCCCCGGGAUAAAUUAAAUAUUCUGAUUCAGGUUCUGAAAGUGCUCCAUAGAUGUCUUGCCAGUGUACAAAGGCUAAAAAAAGAGC